GACGAACUGUCCUAACGUUGUUCGGAAUCACUGGGCUUAAGGGCGCGUAGGCGGUCCAACAAGUCAGGGGUGAAAUCCUGCAGCUCAACUGCAGAAGUGCCUUUGAUACUGUUGGUCUUGAGGGAGAUAGGGGUGUGCGGAACUCACAGUGGAGCGGUGAAAUGCGUUGAUAUUGUGAGGAACGCCGGAGGCGAAAGCGGCGCACUGGAUCUCUUCUGACGCUGAGGCGCGAAAGCUAGGGGAGCAAACGGG
rnacentral:rRNA from 1 species